UCAGGACGAACGCUGGCGGCAUGCCUAAUACAUGCAAGUCGAGCGGAGUUAUUCCUUCGGGGAUAGCUUAGCGGCGGACGGGUGAGUAACACGUAGGCAACCUGCCCUCAAGACCGGGAUAACAUUCGGAAACGAAUGCUAAGACCGGAUACGCAAGCCUGGGGCAUCUCGGGCUUGGGAAACACGGAGCAAUCUGUGGCUUGUGGAUGGGCCUGCGGCGCAUUAGCUAGUUGGUGGGGUAACGGCUCACCAAGGCGACGAUGCGUAGCCGACCUGAGAGGGUGAACGGCCACACUGGGACUGAGACACGGCCCAGACUCCUACGGGAGGCAGCAGUAGGGAAUCUUCCACAAUGGGCGCAAGCCUGAUGGAGCAAUGCCGCGUGAGUGAGGAAGGCUUUCGGGUCGUAAAGCUCUGUUGCCAGGGAAGAAUAAGGACUAGUUAACUGCUGGUUCGAUGACGGUACCUGAGAAGAAAGCCCCGGCUAACUACGUGCCAGCAGCCGCGGUAAUACGUAGGGGGCAAGCGUUGUCCGGAAUUAUUGGGCGUAAAGCGCGCGCAGGCGGUCUUUUAAGUCUGGUGUCUAAGUGCGGGGCUCAACCCCGUGUCGCACUGGAAACUGGGAGACUUGAGUGCAGAAGAGGAGAGCGGAAUUCCACGUGUAGCGGUGAAAUGCGUAGAGAUGUGGAGGAACACCAGUGGCGAAGGCGGCUCUCUGGACUGUAACUGACGCUGAGGCGCGAAAGCGUGGGGAGCAAACAGGAUUAGAUACCCUGGUAGUCCACGCCGUAAACGAUGAGUGCUAGGUGUUGGGGGGGUCCACCCCUCGGUGCCGAAGUUAACACAUUAAGCACUCCGCCUGGGGAGUACGGUCGCAAGACUGAAACUCAAAGGAAUUGACGGGGACCCGCACAAGCAGUGGAGUAUGUGGUUUAAUUCGAAGCAACGCGAAGAACCUUACCAGGUCUUGACAUCCCUCUGAAUACGUUAGAGAUAGCGUAGGCCUUCGGGACAGAGGAGACAGGUGGUGCAUGGUUGUCGUCAGCUCGUGUCGUGAGAUGUUGGGUUAAGUCCCGCAACGAGCGCAACCCUUGAAUUUAGUUGCCAGCACAUGAUGGUGGGCACUCUAGAUUGACUGCCGGUGACAAACCGGAGGAAGGCGGGGAUGACGUCAAAUCAUCAUGCCCCUUAUGACCUGGGCUACACACGUACUACAAUGGCCGGUACAACGGGCUGCGAAGGAGCGAUCUGGAGCUAAUCCUAUAAAGCCGGUCUCAGUUCGGAUUGCAGGCUGCAACUCGCCUGCAUGAAGUCGGAAUUGCUAGUAAUCGCGGAUCAGCAUGCCGCGGUGAAUA
rnacentral:rRNA from 1 species